rnacentral:rRNA from 1 species
GACGAACGCUGGCGGCGUGCUUAACACAUGCAAGUCGAACGAAGGACGCGGGCGCUUGCUCCCUCCGGAUAGGUAGCGGACGGGUGAGGAACAGGGGUGCGGUCUGCCCCGGGGUCUGGGGUACGCGUUGGAAACGACGCCUGAGGCCGGAUAAGACACGGGAAGGCGUCGUCUCCGCGUGGAAAGAACUUGGGGUCGGGAUGAGGUCGCGGCCUAUCAGCUUUUUUGUGCGGUAACGGGUCACCAAAGCGACGAUGGGUAGCUGGCCUGAGCGGGUGACAGGCCCAACUGGGACUGAGACACGGCCCAGACCCCUCCGGGAGGCAGCAGUGGGGAAUAUUGCACAAUGCGCGCAAGCCUGAUGCAGCAACGCCGCGCGGGGGACGACGGCCUUCGGGUUGGAAACCUCUUCUCGCAGGGAAGAAGCGAAAGUGACGGUAGCGGCAGAAAAAGCACCGGCUAACUACGUG